UACGAAGGGGGCGAGCGUUGUUCGGAAUUACUGGGCGUAAAGGGCGCGUAGGCGGCGAUCCGAGUCAGAUGUGAAAGUCCUGGGCUUAACCUGGGGACUGCAUUUGAUACUGGAUUGCUUGAAUUCGGGAGAGGAUAGUGGAAUUCCCAGUGUAGAGGUGAAAUUCGUAGAUAUUGGGAAGAACACCGGUGGCGAAGGCGGCUAUCUGGACCGACAUUGACGCUGAGGCGCGAAAGCGUGGGGAGCAAACAGG
rnacentral:rRNA from 1 species